rnacentral:rRNA from 1 species
UACGUAGGGGGCAAGCGUUGUCCGGAUUUAUUGGGCGUAAAGAGCGUGUAGGCGGCCUUACAGGUCAGCUGUGAAAACUCGAGGCUCAACCUCGAGACGUCGGUUGAAACCACCUGGCUAGAGUCCGGAAGAGGAGAGUGGAAUUCCUGGUGUAGCGGUGAAAUGCGCAGAUAUCAGGAAGAACACCCGUGGCGAAGGCGGCUCUCUGGGACGGUACUGACGCUGAGACGCGAAAGCGUGGGGAGCGAACAGG